rnacentral:rRNA from 1 species
ACGAACGCUGGCGGCGUGCUUAACACAUGCAAGUCGAACGGAAAGGCCCUGCUUUUGUGGGGUGCUCGAGUGGCGAACGGGUGAGUAACACGUGAGUAACCUGCCCUUGACUUUGGGAUAACUUCAGGAAACUGGGGCUAAUACCGGAUAGGAGCUCCUGCUGCAUGGUGGGGGUUGGAAAGUUUCGGCGGUUGGGGAUGGACUCGCGGCUUAUCAGCUUGUUGGUGGGGUAGUGGCUUACCAAGGCUUUGACGGGUAGCCGGCCUGAGAGGGUGACCGGCCACAUUGGGACUGAGAUACGGCCCAGACUCCUACGGGAGGCAGCAGUGGGGAAUAUUGCACAAUGGGCGGAAGCCUGAUGCAGCAACGCCGCGUGCGGGAUGACGGCCAUCGGGUUGUAAACCGCUUUCGCCUGUGACGAAGCGUGAGUGACGGUAAUGGGUAAAGAAGCACCGGCUAACUACGUG